GUCUGAGUUUCUGGGGAAGGCAGAGCUGUGGUCUAGAAGAAGAUGAGGCUGCUGGGUCUUCUCCUGUGCCUGGUGACAGCCCCCCAAGGUGUCCUGUCCCAGUUGCAGCUGCAGGAGUCGGGCCCAGGACUGGUGAAGCCCUCGCAGACUCUGUCCCUCACCUGCACUGUUUCGGGGGGUUCUGUCACCAGCAGUAACUAUUGGCAUUGGAUCCGCCAGUGCCCUGAGAAAGGGUUGGAGUGGAUGGGGUACUGGACAGGGAGCACAAGCUACAACCCAGCAUUCCAGGGCCGAAUCUCCAUCACGGCUGACACAUCAAAGAACCAGUUCUCCCUGCAGCUGAGCUCUGUGACCUCCGAGGACACGGCCGUGUAUUACUGUGCGAGGGGCACAGUGAGGGGCAGUGUGAGUCCAGACACAAACCUCCCUGAGGGGACAGGGGGGCUGGGCUGA